AGAGUUUGAUCAUGGCUCAGGAUGAACGCUGGCGGCGUGCCUAAUACAUGCAAGUCGAACGGAGUAGCAAUACUUAGUGGCGACCGGGUGCGUAACACGUAGCUGACCUACCCUUCAGCGGGGGACAACAGCCCGAAAGGGCUGCUAAUACCGCAUGGACUUCAGGGAACUAGAGGACUGAAGAAAACUUACGGGGCUGAAGGAGGGGGCUGCGGCCCAUCAGGUAGUUGGUGUGGUAACGGCGCACCAAGCCGACGACGGGUAGGGGGCCUGAGAGGGUGACCCCCCACACUGGGACUGCAAGACGGCCCAGACUCCUACGGGAGGCAGCAGUAAGGGAUAUUGCGCAAUGGGCGAAAGCCUGACGCAGCAACGCCGCGUGGAGGAAGAAGGCUUUCGGGUCGUAAACUCCUUUUAACGGGGACGAGCAAGGACGGUACCCGUGGAAUCAGUCACGGCUAACUACGUGCCAGCCGCCGCGGUAAUAC
rnacentral:rRNA from 1 species